GACGAACGCUGGCGGCGUGCUUAACACAUGCAAGUCGAACGGUAAGGCCCUUCGGGGUACACGAGUGGCGAACGGGUGAGUAACACGUGGGUGAUCUGCCCUGCACUUCGGGAUAAGCCUGGGAAACUGGGUCUAAUACCGGAUAGGACCACUGCCUGCAUGGGUGGUGGUGGAAAGCUUUUGCGGUGUGGGAUGGGCCCGCGGCCUAUCAGCUUGUUGGUGGGGUGAUGGCCUACCAAGGCGAUGACGGGUAGCCGGACUGGGAGGGUGACCGGCCACACUGGGACUGAGAUGCGGCCCAGACUCCUACGGGAGGCAGCAGUGGGGAAUAUUGCACAAUGGGCGCAAGCCUGAUGCAGCGACGCCGCGUGAGGGAUGACGGCCUUCGGGUUGUAAACCUCUUUCAGCACCGACGAAGCGCAAGUGACGGUAGGUGCAGAAGAAGGACCGGCCAACUACGUGCCAGCAGCCGCCGUAA
rnacentral:rRNA from 1 species